GCCUGGCUGGCUCAGUCAGAAGAGCAUGUGACUCUUGAUCUCAGAGUCAUGGGUUUGAGCCCUAUAUUGGGUA
rnacentral:tRNA from 1 species